rnacentral:lncRNA from 1 species
GAAUGUUCUCUUGAAUAUCCUCAAUGUCUUCCAAAACUAUUGCAGUGUGUCAAAUGGAACAAUCGAGAUAGCGUUGCCCAGAUUCAUUUACUGCUCACAACAUGGAAAAUUGAUCCAUUAGAAGUUGAUGUGGCAUUAGAUCUUCUUGAUUAUAAAUUCCCUGAUAACAAUGUUCGAACUAUUGCUGUAAAAGUGCUUGAUAAUUUAACGGAUGGCGAAUUGGAAAUGUAUUUACUGCAACUUAUUCAGG